UGAGGUCGGUUUGUUGGGGCGCUGAGGCGCGUGAGGGCCCAGUCUGCCGCCGGGAGAGAGCGGUGGGGCCCCGCCCCUCCGAGCAGCCCCGGGCCCGAGGGACGCCCCCUGGUGAGAGGGGCCGGAACCCAGGAGUCCGGCCCCGGUGUGGGGCUGCGCGCGGCCAAGCCCCCCCGUGCUGCGGGCCGGGCGGGGGGCUCCCCGCGGGGGAGGGGUUGGACACGGCGACGCUAACCCGCUCACCAGCUCUAGUGUGGACGGGCCGGUGGCGGCUGUAACCCGUGUUAGCGGGGCGUGGCCACACAGCCCAGACCCCCUCCCCCGGCUGGCACGUGUUCAACGCCUCCUGCCUUGGGGGUGAGGCUAAUUCCUGGUGUGAGCAAGGCAGGGUGGCGUUUCUCACGUCCUAGCGGGGUAGGGCCACACUUGGUGCUGAGGGCAGGGGUUGAAUCCUCUGCUCAUGUAGAUGCAGCUUAGUGCACUGUCAAGGAAUGUUAGUGCAAGUGUAUCUGUGUAAACUGGGACUCACAUCCCCCCCGUGCCAAGUCCUAAACUGCAGGGCCAGCUAAUGUGUCAAGGCUGUCCUGCGUUCUCUGUUUCAAACUUGUUAGCCAUCAUGGUUUUAAUGCACCUGGUUUUUUCUACUGUAAACUUAACCUUGGGGUCUGUUACUGAGGAACGCUUGCCCAAGUUAGAGGUCCCACAAGCUGCUGUUGUGGAGGUUGCCGCAUUAACCAUUGCAGGACGUGUCCUGCCAAGGGUAGCCUGUGAUGAGCUUUCAAUUUCUGACACCUCGUAUGAGUAUUGCCCAAGCAGUACUUGAUUACGCUUCAUGCCUGAGGCUGCACGUUGUACUUGUAACUAUCAUUACUUCUUUGAGAUGUAUUAAGUGGUGUGUUGUUGUUUUUUUUAGGUUACUCGAUGUUCACAAGUUGAGGAAUGAAAUGGACCAGAAGAGCUCACUUCCAUUGUUGGCAUCAAAACAACUGUAAAGCUCAUUAAUUCAAAUGCAGAGGCUUUAAUUUGGAUUUACUUUAAAGCACAUGUGACCUGUGUUACGCAUUUUGAACGAAACAUGAAAGGUAUAUUGUAUGAGUGAAAUGUAAGUUAUUAAACCAAGUGGAACAAAUUUGCUGUUCUUUUAAUGUAUGAGACUUGCCUAUUGAUUCACGUAACAUGUCAAAGAAGUGUUCACUCCUGGGUGAAGGCUUGUGCAGAUGGAACUUUCUGGAGUGCUAGUCUAAAUUGCCAUAAAACUCAGGACUGUUUCAAGGGCAGGGGGCAUUUCUUUGGCUUUAUCUUUACAAAUAAAAAAUAGAACAUAAUACAGGAA